GAUAAACGCUAGCGGCAGGCUUAACACAUGCAAGUCGAGGGGCAGCAUAGAUUGUAGCAAUACAAUUGGUGGCGACCGGCGCACGGGUGCGUAACGCGUAUGCAACCUACCCGUCACAGGGGGAUAAUCCGGAGAAAUCUGGUCUAAUACCCCAUAACAUAUGGAUCGGCAUCGGUUCAUGUUGAAAUUUUCGGAGGUGACGGAUGGGCAUGCGUAGCAUUAGCUUGUUGGUGAGGUAACGGCUCACCAAGGCGACGAUGCUUAGGGGGACUGAGAGGUUUUCCCCCCACACUGGUACUGCGACACGGACCAGACUCCUACGGGAGGCAGCAGUGAGGAAUAUUGGUCAAUGGGCGCAAGCCUGAACCAGCCAUGCCGCGUGCAGGAUGACGGCUCUAUGAGUUGUAAACUGCUUUUGUACGAGGGUAAAGUGGGUUACGUGUAACCUUUUGGAAGUAUCGUACGAAUAAGGAUCGGCUAACUCCGUGCCAGCAGCCGCCGUAACAC
rnacentral:rRNA from 1 species